rnacentral:rRNA from 1 species
GGUUGAUCCUGCCGGACCCCACUGCUAUCGGGAUGGGGCUAAGACAUGCUAGUCGAGCGUCUCCAAGCCAUGGUGGAGGCGCGGCACACAGCUCAGUAACAUGUGGCUAACCUGUCCUUGGGACAGGGACAACCCCGGGAAAGUGGGGCUAAUCCCUGAUAGGUGAGAACUCCUGGAAUGGAUUCUCGCUCAAAGGGCGUNUAGGUCAUGUUUCUAUGUGUUGCCCAAUGACGAGGCCAGCGCCCGAUCAGGUUGUUGGCUCAGGUACUCGUACACCAUGUCUUUACCCGGGACCGGCC